GAAAUGCGAUAAGUAAUGUGAAUUGCAGAAUUCAGUGAAUCAUCGAAUCUUUGAACGCACAUUGCGCCCGCCAGCACUCUGGCGGGCAUGCCUGUUCGAGCGUCAUUUCAACCCUCAGAACCCCUUGCGGGAUCUGGCGUUGGGGAUUGGCAUCCAGCCAGCCCCGAAAUCUAGUGGCGGUCCCUCCGCGACCUCCCCUGUGCAGUAGCGAUACCUCGCAGCGGGACAGCGGUCUGACCACGCCGUAAAACCCCCAACUUCUCAAGUUUGACCUCGAAUCAGGUAGGAAUACCCGCUGAACUUAAGC
rnacentral:misc_RNA from 1 species